CAAGCCAUGGCACGAAGAUGAUGACUGCAGAGGUGCUGGCAGAGGCAUAUGGCAAGAAAGAGUGGAAGCACUUCUUGUCGGACACUGGAAUGGCUUGCCGCUCAGGAAAGUAUUACUUUUACGACAACUACUUCGACCUGCCAGGAGCUCUUCUGUGUGCCAGGGUGGUGGACUAUUUAACAAAACAGAACAAUGGUCAAAAAACAUUUGAUUUUUGGAAGGAUAUAGUUGCUGCUAUACAACACAAUUAUAAAAUGUCAGCUUUUAAGGGUAAGUAUUGUGAAGAGGGGCCUUCUAAUACGUGUUUGUUAAGCUAUGUUUGUCUAGUGAAUUAGCUGGAAAGUAGGUACUUUGCUGUGUAUCUUACUUAGGAUUUAAUUUGAGCUUAAAUAUUAUUAUAAAGUUGGUUCUGACUAC
rnacentral:sRNA from 1 species